rnacentral:lncRNA from 10 species
UAACAAUUUAGUACUUACUAUGUGCUAGGUACCAAUGUAAGUGCUUUAUAUAUAUUAACUCAUUCAAUAUAAAUCUGGAGUAGCUGGUGACUCUUAAAUGAGAGUUAUUGAGGAUAGAUUAAAGCCUUUCUUUAAGUUGUAUUCAAACAUUUGCUGGUAUUAGUGGAACAUUUAGAGGGGCACACUAAGGAAUCAAUGUAAGAUGUGGUGGCCAUGAAAGGAGCCUCUCAGUUCUCUGCAAAGAAUGUAAUUGACCUAUAGUUCUGAGAUCCACUGUGUUUGUGCAAGGGACACUAAGACAGGUCAGUUCCCGGGAGACACAGGACUCUUCUGAUGGGGCACUGACUUGGGGACUCCUUUUUAUCUUUGCUGAAAAUUUCUUAGCACUGCACCUCCAGACAUUAUCUGUCCAAUCAUCCUUCCUAUCCUCUUUGCUCCACAUGGGUAAGACCUGCAUCAGGAUCCGAAGACUCAGCCUUCUUCGGCUCCCUUCCCAUUAUCCCUCACAGAUGUUUUCCUAAUAAAUCUCUUGCACCCACUAAUCUCAUCUUGCAAUUCUGCAGGGUCCAAAUUAACACAAUACUGAUUAUGAUCUAUCUGAUUUAGUGAUGAUAACGAUGAUAGCAUUCUUCAAGUACCAAAUGAUUUAUCUAUGUCAUCUCAUUUUAUCCUUACAAUAACUUUUUGGGUAUUUCAUAUUAUAAAUGAGAAAACCAACUAAGUGGAUAAUUAGCCAUUUGAGUGGUUCACUUAUCUAGUAAAUGGCAAUGAAAAGUCUGAAUCACUCUGCUAUAGUCUUAACAAACAUCAAUUGAGGCUCUUAGAGAAUCACUAUGUCCACUGUAACAUUUUCUUAAACCUCAUGUGAUAUUUUGAGGUUAAUGUGACCAAUUCAUUGACCUGUCAUAAGUCUAUUAUAAGUUUUGCACCUUUUGCCCCCCCUUUUUAAUUUGAAUUAAAUGGAUGACAUUUUAAAAAGACAGGCAUAAAUAGGUACAAUUGGUGAGAAAUGUUUUUCUUCUGCAUAGUUCUUGACAAGUUAGCCAUUUGCUCAGGUAAGCACACUCAGCAGCAGCCAGAUGAAAAUUAUAUUAAUCAGCAAUAAGAAUAAAGCCCUUUAAUGGGAUUUCCAGGUCUUGGCUUUGGGGUAGCAGUAUAGUCUAGUGGAUAAAUCCAUGGUCUAUAUUGAAAUACAUACUGUAACAUUGGCCAAGUUAAUUCAAAGAUUGCUUCCUCAUUUGAAAAAUGGGAGCAAAAAUAACUACAUUGAUUUUUAUAAAAAUAAGGAUGCAUGCUGUGUCUGCAUAUCACUUAUUACCACUGUGGUAGCAAUUAGCAACAAUCCAUAAUUUACAGUUGUUAUUAUGUGUUAAUUUUCUUUGGCUCUUCUCCCUGCCUAAACAACAAAUAAGAAAAGAAUGUAAAUAUAUGUGAAUAUAUAUUGGGUCAGUGAUUUUCUGGGUUUUUUUUUUUUUUUUUUUUUUCAGACGGAGUUUUGCUCUCGUUUCCCAGGCUGAAGUGCAAUGGUGCAAUCUUGGCUUGCCGCAACCUCUGCCUCCUGGGUUCAAACGAUUCCCCUGCCUCAGCCUCCCAAGUAGCUGGGAUUUCAGGCAUGCGCCACAACGCCUGGCUAAUUUUUUGUAUUUUUAGUAGAAGACUGGGUUUCUCCAUGUUGGUCAGGCUGGUCUCAAACUCCCGACCUCAAGUGAUCUGCCUGCCUUGGCCUCCCAAAGUGCUGGGAUUACAGGCAUGAGCCACUGCGCCCGGCAGGAUCAGUGAUUUUUCAAACUUUAGAGUGUAUGAGAAUUACCUGGAGGACUCAUUAAAGUAGAUUGCUGAGCUCCACCUCAGAGAUACUGAUCAAGUAGCUCAGAGAUGCAGCUGGAGACAUUGCAGGUCCCACAAAUUCCCCAGGUGCUACUGAGGCUGGAAAUUACAGGAGAGCCACUACUUUAUAAUUAUAAACCUCCACUUCCAUCUAGUGGUUGAGUUACAAAAUACAAUGAAUGUACGUUUUUAACACGCGUUGUUUCAUUUAAUUCUCCUAACAUUGCAUAAAACAAGUACUGUUUUCACUUUACAAAUGGUAAAACUGAGCUGUGAGGGUGAUGAAGUAACCUGCCUAAUGUUUUUCAGGUAUUUGGAGAACUGAUGAUUAGCUCCAAGGCUGUCAGACUCCAAAGCCAAAGCUCUCAGUCAGUAUGUUAUUCUGUCUAAACAUCCUUCAAACCAUCUUCCUCGGUAAUUCCACUUCUGAGGAAAUAACCAGAAAUACAGACAAAGAGAGAUAGAGAUAUCUAUUACAAUGUGAUUUAUAAUAGUGAAAAUUCAUAGGAAACUUUAAGUCCAUCAUCAAGGGAAUGGUAAUAUAGGUAUACUUCAAAAUAUUUUACAUACAACUGAAGUGAAACAUCAUGUGUUUUAAAAUUUAUGGAAAUUGAUAUACAAAGUGAAGAGGAAAAUGUAGGAUUUUGCAUAAAGGAGUGACUUUAAGAAAAUUCCAGGCUGGAUGUGGUGGCUCUCGCCUGUAAUCCCAGCACUUUGGGAGGCCGAGGCGGGCGGAUCACAAGGUCAGGAGAUAGAGAUCAUCCCGGCUAACACGGUGAAAUCCCAUCUCUACUAAAAAUACAAAAAAAUAGCCGGGCGUGAUGGCCGGCGCCUGUAGUCCCAGCUACUCGGGAGGCUGAGGCAGGAGAAUGGCCAGAACCCCGGAGGCGGAGCUUGCAGUGAGCCGAGAUUGUGCCACUGCACUCCAGCCUGGGCGACAGAGAGAGACUCCCUCUCAAAAAAGAAAAAAAAAAAGAAAAUUCCCUACACAUACAUGGGAAAAGACUUGAGGGAAAUAGGCCAAAAUGUUAUUUUUUUGUUUCCUUUUACUUUUUAGUAUAGAA